rnacentral:lncRNA from 1 species
UUUUCCCUCCUUCCUUUCACAUAAGAGUGAAAAAAUUUAGUAUUCAUGUCUCCUUCAACAAACCAUUUCAUCCCUGCCUUUUGUUUUCAUUAUUCUUCCUCAAUCUUGAGAUAUUUUCUCAACUCCGCCUCCAUUUUACCCAGUUCAGCUCUAUUUGCAGCAGUUGAAAUUUAUCUUAAAUUGAGAUUCUUUUAUUUUAAU